rnacentral:rRNA from 1 species
UACGAAGGGUGCAAGCGUUAAUCGGAAUUACUGGGCGUAAAGGGUGCGUAGGCGGUUGUUUAAGUCUGUCGUGAAAUCCCCGGGCUCAACCUGGGAAUGGCGAUGGAUACUGGGCAGCUAGAGUGUGUCAGAGGAUGGUGGAAUUCCCGGUGCAGCGGUGAAAUGCGUAGAUAUCUGGAGGAACACCGGUGGCGAAGGCGGCAUUCUGGACCGAUAUUGACGCUGAGGAGCGAAAGCCAGGGGAGCAAACGGG